rnacentral:rRNA from 126 species
UGGUAAUGAUGGCAGAGAGGUCACACCCGUUCCCAUACCGAACACGGAAGUUAAGCUCUCUAGCGCCGAUGGUAGUUGGGACCUUGUCCCUGUGAGAGUAGGACGUUGCCAGGCA